AACGAACGCUGGCGGCAGGCUUAACACAUGCAAGUCGAGCGCUCCCUUCGGGGAGAGCGGCGGACGGGUGAGUAACGCGUGGGAACGUGCCCCUGGGUAAGGAACAACAGCUGGAAACGGCUGCUAAUACCUUAUGAUGUCUUCCGGUAACGGUUGACCAAAGAUUUAUCGCCCAGGGAUCGGCCCGCGUCGGAUUAGGUAGUUGGUGGGGUAACGGCCCACCAAGCCGACGAUCCGUAGCUGGUUUGAGAGGAUGAUCAGCCACACUGGGACUGAGACACGGCCCAGACUCCUACGGGAGGCAGCAGUGGGGAAUCUUGGACAAUGGGGCAACCCUGAUCCAGCCAUGCCGCGUGAGCGAAGAAGGCCUUAGGGUUGUAAAGCUCUUUCACCGGUGAAGAUAAUGACGGUAGCCGGAGAAGAAGCCCCGGCUAACUCCGUGCCAGCAGCCGCGGUAAU
rnacentral:rRNA from 1 species